GAUGAACGCUGGCGGCGUGCUUAAUACAUGCAAGUCGAGCGAACAGACCAGGAGCUUGCUCCUCUGAUGUUAGACGCGGACGUAACACUAAAAAGUGUUUAACCUACCUAUAAGACAGGGAUAACAUCGGGAAACAGGAGCUCAUACCGGAUAAUAUAUUGAACCGCAUGGUUCAAUAGUGAAAGUCGGUUUUGCUGUCACUUAUAGAUGGAUCCGCGCCGCAUUAGCUAGUUGGUAAGGUAACGGCUUACUAAGGCAACGAUGCGUAGCCGACCUGGGAGAGGGAUAGGCCAAACUGGGAGAGAGAGACGAGCCAGACUCCUACGGAGGGCAGCAGCAGAGAAUCUUCAGAGAUGGGCGAAAGCCUGACGGAGCAACGCCGGAUGGGUGAUGAAGGUCUUCGGGCCGGAAGACUGUGUUAUUAGGGAAGAUCAAAUGCAUAAGUAACUAAGCACGUCUUGACGGUACCUGGUCAGAAAGCAACGGCUAACUACGUG
rnacentral:rRNA from 1 species